AUUGAACGCUGGCGGCAGGCCUAACACAUGCAAGUCGAGCGGUAGCACAGAAGAGCUUGCUCUUUGGGUGACGAGCGGCGGACGGGUGAGUAAUGUCUGGGAAACUGCCUGAUGGAGGGGGAUAACUACUGGAAACGGUAGCUAAUACCGCAUAACCUCGCAAGAGCAAGGAGGGGGACCUUCGGGCCUCUCGCCAUCAGAUGUGCCCAGAUGGGAUUAGCUAGUAGGUGAGGUAAUGGCUCACCUAGGCGACGAUCCCUAGCUGGUCUGAGAGGAUGACCAGCCACACUGGAACUGAGACACGGUCCAGACUCCUACGGGAGGCAGCAGUGGGGAAUAUUGCACAAUGGGCGCAAGCCUGAUGCAGCCAUGCCGCGUGUGUGAAGAAGGCCUUCGGGUUGUAAAGCACUUUCAGCGGGGAGGAAGGCGGUAAGGUUAAUAACCUUAUCGAUUGACGUUACCCGCAGAAGAAGCACCGGCUAACUCCGUGCCAGCCGCCGCGGUAA
rnacentral:rRNA from 1 species